rnacentral:rRNA from 1 species
GUGCCAGCCGCCGCGGUAAUACGAAGGGGGCUAGCGUUGUUCGGAAUCACUGGGCGUAAAGCGCACGUAGGCGGAUCUUUAAGUCAGGGGUGAAAUCCCGAGGCUCAACCUCGGAACUGCCUUUGAUACUGGAGGUCUCGAGUCCGGGAGAGGUGAGUGGAACUGGGAGUGCAGAGGUGAAAUUCGUAGAGAUUCGCAAGAACACCAGUGGCGAAGGCGGCUCACUGGCCCGAUA